GGAGGAUACAACUCAAUGGUAGAGCACAUGCUUAGCAUGCACAGGGUCCUGGGUUCAAUCCCCAGUACCUCCA
rnacentral:tRNA from 1 species